rnacentral:rRNA from 1 species
UACGGAGGGGGCUAGCGUUGUUCGGAAUUACUGGGCGUAAAGGGUGCGUAGGUGGCAAAGUAAGUUGGAUGUGAAAUCCUGGGGCUCAACCUCAGAAUUGCAUUCAGUACUGCUUAGCUAGAGAGCUGUAGAGGAGACUGGAAUUUACGGUGUAGCAGUGAAAUGCGUAGAUAUCGUAAGGAACGCCAGUGGCGAAAGCGAGUCUCUGGGCAGCAUCUGACACUGAGGCACGAAGGCCAGGGGAGCAAACGGG